rnacentral:lncRNA from 1 species
CUUAUCACCUUGUUCCUCAGGAGCCUACUUAUAGAAUAGCCUCAUAUCACUAGGCUACAGUUACUGAUAGCUUGCAGAUAUAGUUCUCACAGCAUACUGAAAGAAAAAGCCAUAUCCUUUGUCAAAAGUUCUCAUUUCUAUUUGGAUGGAGUUGAGCAUUAAGUAACAUGCACCUUUACUAGGAGCUGAUGGAAAUUUGAUAGGAUGUCCUUGAGGUUUGUGAUGCUGAAAUAUCUGACUAAAGAGGAGGUGUACCAACCUCUGUCCUCCUCUAAAGAAGAGAAAGAAAAGUGAUCCAAACUCUGUGGGGCCAAUAAACAUGAUUCAGAGUCUUUUAUUCUUCCACUGCCCACAACCUCUUUUCCCAGUGUCGAUUUUCAUCUACUCCCUGUGUUUAUUGUGAGACAGCCGGUGGCACUGUUAAUAGGAAAUAUGCAUAAUUUCUCAUAUGAAAUUGAAAAGCAAGGGAGGGUUAUUCACUCUACUGGUCCGGCUGUCAAUCUUUAUCUCCUUUAUACUUAGCUAGUUAACUGUGUUAGCUGCAGCCAGUUUGUCAAUCCGCUCACUGCAUUUGAAAAUAUAGGAUUCUCUUUAAGAUGAACACCUUUCUGGUUUUUCACUGAAGAGGUAAGUUAGACUUUGCUAAGUGGCUGUAGAAUCCACUUUCUAACCAGGUCCUAUGCUUGCGA